rnacentral:rRNA from 1 species
UGGGGAAUAUUGGACAAUGGGGGCAACCCUGAUCCAGCAAUGCCGCGUGAGUGAUGAAGGCCUUAGGGUUGUAAAGCUCUUUUGCCAGGGAAGAUGAUGACUGUACCUGGAGAAUAAGCCCCGGCUAACUUCGUGCCAGCAGCCGCGGUAAUACGAAGGGGGCUAGCGUUGUUCGGAAUUACUGGGCGUAAAGGGCGCGUAGGCGGCCGUUUAAGUUAGGUGUGAAAGUCCUGGGCUCAACCUGGGGACUGCACUUAAUACUGGAUGGCUUGAAUUCGGGAGAGGAUAGCGGAAUUCCCAGUGUAGAGGUGAAAUUCGUAGAUAUUGGGAAGAACACCGGUGGCGAAGGCAGCUUACUAUGGUUUAAUUGACGCUGAGGCACGAAAGCGUGGGGAUCAAACA